rnacentral:rRNA from 1 species
UACAGAGGUCUCAAGCGUUGUUCGGAUUCAUUGGGCGUAAAGGGUGCGUAGGUGGCGGGGGUAAGUCAGGUGUGAAAUCUCGGAGCUCAACUCCGAAACUGCACUUGAUACUGCCUUGCUGGAGUACUGGAGAGGAGAUUGGAAUUUACGGUGUAGCAGUGAAAUGCGUAGAUAUCGUAAGGAAGACCAGUGGCGAAGGCGAAUCUCUGGACAGUUACUGACACUGAGGCACGAAGGCCAGGGGGAGCAAACGGG